rnacentral:rRNA from 1 species
UACGGAGGGUGCAAGCGUUGCUCGGAAUUAUUGGGCGUAAAGCGCGUGUAGGCGGCUUUCUAAGCCUAAUGUGAAAUCCCAGGGCUCAACCCUGGAACUGCAUCGGAUACUGGAAAGCUAGAGGAUGAGAGAGGAUGGUGGAAUUCCUGGUGUAGGGGUGAAAUCCGUAGAUAUCAGGAGGAACACAGUGGCGAAGGCGACUACCUGGCCUGUUCUUGACGCUGAGGCGCGAAAGCUAGGGGAGCAAACGGG